AGAUGGCGACGGCGGGCGGCGCUAAAAUGGAGCCUGCUUCCUGCGUGAAACAAUCCCGCUCCCGAAAUGCCCUGCGCUGUUUACGCUCCGUUCCUCUUUGGAAACGUCACAGUGCGGACAUGGGCGAAGAGGCAGGACGGGUCUCUCACUAAGAUGCUGAGACUGGUCUACUACCUGGGGAUUCACCUGCCUUAAACUCCUGAGUCCUUGGGAUUAAAGACAUAUUCACUGUGCCAGCUGCUAAUUAACAGAACAAAGUCAGUCAGAUGCUAUGUUCCUCCUGAUAGAAGAGAAGAGACAGGCACAGAGGGAGAAGACUGCCAUGUGACAACAGCAUUAGAUAUUGGAGUGAUACAUCAAAGAAACACCAAAGGUUGUAAGCAAAAACCGGAAACUGAAAGAGGCAAGUAAUGAUUCUCUUCCUUAGUAGAUUCUGAGGGAACAUAACACUGUGGACAACUUGAUUUCAAACUUCUGGCCUAUAGAAAUAUCAGACAAUACAUUCUUGUUGUUUUAAGGCACCCUGUUUCUGUACUGUUACAUCAGGAAACUAGGGCAUUGUUUGGAUACUGAUUGGAAUAUACGAGCACAUUAAUAAAUACAUAUAUAUUAAAUACUG